CGAUCCUAUCUCCUCAAAUGCCCACAAAAUAUGCCACCCUCGUCUAGGCCCCGUUGUUGCCGGGUAGCCGUGAUCGGCGCAGGUGCCGCCGGUCUAGUGGCUGCCCGUGAGCUUCGCAGAGAGGGCCUCCAAGUGGUACUGUUCGAGAAAGAUGACCAAAUCGGUGGUACCUGGGUGUACAAUUCCCAUGUCGAACCUGACCUUCUCGGGCUCG
rnacentral:misc_RNA from 1 species